ensembl:lncRNA
CUCACUCACUCACUCACACUCUCUCCCGGUAUGUACAGGGUUGUUGUGCUGUGAUUAUAAAGGUGCUGUGCAGGUGCGUGGCUGCCGUCAGAUUGGGUAAUUUGCUCACCAGGAUGAUUUAGUAUCGGCUGUGCUCCUGCUCAUUAUGGCCGCAGAAACGAAGAGAGAAAACAGAGGGGAGACAAUUUAUAAGGAUUAAAGGGGGGUGCAAUUGAAUUUAAUGCAAAUUAGAUUUGAAUUUUAACAAUGUUACGAGGAAGUAACAGCGCAACUGCAUACAUUAGAAAAGGUUUGGUUGAAAAUCAACCUAGGAAUAUUGUUCCCAUUUACUGCACUGAGUUUAUAUAGUUUAUAGUCGUGAACCCUUAAAAUAGUAGACAUAGCUUGGAAAAAGGAAAUCCGCUGUUGCUCAUUGAACCUCUGCUUCACAGGCUUGAUAGAUGGCUCGUGACUGACCUGUAUUCAGUUUACACCGUAGACCCUGACUCUUUGUGACAGCUGCCCGACCUUGAGCAGCACUGUUUGUUGUGUACAAACAACGAUGACUGAGCAGCCACACAGAGUUAUAGCUCAGUUAACUGGUGUUAUUGACAUGGCCUCAUCGCUACCUCAACUGACCUUACCAGUCCACACAGUGUGCACACUGGUUUGCCCUUCAAAGGCCAGUAUAUAAGCCGCAGACUGUUAUGUUACGGGAUCUUAUGCAAGUUGCCAUUUCUUUCUUUUUAUAUAAUUUUAAAAAUAUAGUUCACUUUCAAAAGCGUUUUUUUUUUUUUUUUUUUUACAGUACAGAACCCAAAACUGAGACAAAAACACAACCCUCCCUGAGGCUGCACUAACAGUGUUCCAUCCUUUCCAUAAGCGUCCUGGCACAAUGAACCCAAGGCACCAAAAGGCACUCAGCUUUGUUCAACAGUGCAGACUUCAUGUGAGCAUGCCUGAAGCACCUUUCUGAAAACGGCUGUCAGCUUUGACACUAAAGGAGAAGAAGCGCGGACCCCCUCGUCAGCCUCUCCGCGCACUCCUCUGAAGUCGUUUCACGGCACAGAGAGAGUUCAUUCUAAAAAGGAGAUGGCACAGUUGGAAAGUUUCAGGGCAGACUGCGCAAACGCGAUUUUUUGUUGUGAUUGGCCGUGACGCAGUGACAUGAGAGGCGCUCUAAGGUGGACAGGCAGGCAGACAGACAGACAUGCCGAACAGAAGAGGCGUCCCUCAGGAGGGAGGACUCACAGACAGAGACAGACAGUUCUCCAGGGUCGAGAUGCUAAACAUUUCCCACUACAGCUCUCUGGCCUUUUCAGAGAUUCAGCUUGGGAAACAACACACACUCACACACACAACUACACGGAAUGGAAACGUUAUGAGGAGUAAAGGUCAUUCAUUUUAUAUAAACAUAUACUUAUAUUGCUGACAUACUCAAACUGCAGCGAUAUUUUCUUGAAAACGGUAUGAAACUCUAACCCCUAAAUUGUGACACUGAUUCAUUGUACAUAAUGACGUUAAAUAAUUUCCUAUCUAAUAAACGAUGCAUGGUUUUCUUUGUGAUCACUCGUGCAUGAGUAAGGAAUUGAAAUUCAGCACAACUACCAAAACAUUUCUGUGCAAAAGAGAAUUCCCGAU